AUAAUGGAUACAUUUAAUUCACUUGGUUUCAACGUGUAUGGGGGGAGGAAUGCACCAUAUGUGUGGGUUCACUUCCCUGGACUUAGUUCAUGGGAUGUAUUUAGUGAGAUCCUUGAGAAGACUCAUGUUGUUACCACACCUGGUAGUGGAUUUGGACCUGGUGGUGAAGGUUUUAUCAGGGUUAGUGCUUUUGGUCAUAGGGACAAUGUUUUAGAGGCCUGCAGAAGGUUCAAGCAGCUGUACAAGUGAACCAGCAGAUUACUUUUCUAUCUGUAUUUCCUUUUUGGCCUGACGAUCAAUUUAGCUGCCUUUACUCUGUACGUUGAAGAAGAAAACUGAAAACAUGGUAGCAUUUGGUCCAAUAAGAUCUUAGCAGGAACUAGGAACUCUUCUUUCAAUGUAGUCUAUUUGUCAAUUCUUAAGGAAAAACUUUUUGGUAAAAAAAAAAAAAAAAA
rnacentral:misc_RNA from 1 species